CUUCCCUAGAGAGGGACCUGCGGAAGGAUCAUUAGUGAAAGCAAGGGCCAGCCAUACGGACGGCGCUACUCGCGUACAACGUCUCUGGCGCCCAACUUUACACAAUAUCCACAAACCCGUGUGCACCGUUUGGAUGAGUUGGACCUCGCAAGAGGCCUGGCUCUCCAAUCCAUUUCUACCAAACUCGUAUGGUUGUAUGAACGUGGAAAUCGUUGGACCGUAACUGGCCAACAACCAAUAAUACAACUUUCGACAACGGAUCUCUUGGUUCUCCCAUCGAUGAAGAACGCAGCGAAACGCGAUAGGUAAUGUGAAUUGCAGAAUUCCGUGAAUCAUCGAAUCUUUGAACGCACCUUGCGCUCCAUGGUAUUCCGUGGAGCAUGCCUGUUUGAGUGCCGUGAAUUCUCUCUCCCCAAGCGGUUGCGAUUGCACUGCUUUGGCGGACGAGGUUGGAUGGGUGCUUCUGCCUGUUUCGCAAGAAACAGGCUCGCCCGAAAUGCAUUAGCGCCUUUGGGACACACUCUGCAAACCGCUCUGAAAGGGAGGGCGGCAGAGGGGAUGGAGGAACUCCGCCCGUCAGCUAUACCAAACUUUGCCCCAGGCAAGCGCAUGGCAUGAUACGUCAUUUGCUGUGUGUGCGUCCUGAGGCAAGGGGCCGAUGUGGUGCCUUUGUCACUCUGUGGGUGUGUUGGUGCGCUACCAAUCCUGCGUGGAGGCUGGUCUGUGCGCAAGCAUGGAGCAGUUCUUGUGAACGCAUUCCCUUUUUUCAUUUCUGUCUCAAAUCAGUAGACCCCCACCAAU
rnacentral:rRNA from 1 species